CGCUUGGAGAAAACGAACAAACACACACAACUGAAAUUGCGGGAAGGGACAAAAAUAAGAGGAAUCCGCCAUGUCAUCACAUAUCUCCGGCACCAGCGCUGCCAUGACUCCGCCGUUGGACCGUAGCGGAGACUUCGAGGUUGCUACUGAAGAAUCCGGAGACUACGUUAUUGGUUUGGAGUCGGGGACGUCUGAAGCUCAGUUCAUCGGAGAAAAUGGACCGAUUCUCCCUCCACCAGAACGUAUGGUAGCGGAGGAAGGUUUUGCCCUGAGAGAGUGGCGACGAUUGAACGCCAUACGGCUGGAGGAAAAGGAGAAAAGGGAGAAAGAAAUUGUUAGGGAAAUAAUUGAAGAAGCAGAGGAAUACAAAGCAGAGUACUAUAGGAAAUGGAAACUUAGAUGUGAGAACAAUGUAGCUGCUAACCGGGAGAAGGAGAAGUUAUUCUUGGCCAACCAAGAGAAGUUCCAUACUGAAGCUAAUAAGGCUUAUUGGAGGGCAAUCGGAGAGCUUAUUCCAAAGGAGGUCCCGUCCAUAGAAAAGAAAGGAAAGAAGGAUAAGGAGAAGCAGCCAUUCAUCAAUGUCAUUCAAGGACCCAAACCUGGCAGGCCAACUGAACUCUCUAGAAUGCGUCAAAUACUUGUGAAACUCAAACACAACCCGCCUGAGCAUAUGAAGCCUUCUGCAAAACCAUCUUUGGAACCAAGAAAAGAUGCAAAGACAGGAACAGAAACUUCUGUUACUGCCUCUGCAAAGCCUCAAGCUACUACUGCUGCACCUUGAAGGUUUAUCCUCUGCUGCACAAUGAAAAUGCUACUAUGUUGAUCUCGUAAAGCAGUCGUCCUUUACGUUAACUUAAAUGUUAUGAGUUUGAGAACAACUCCUAUCAGAAAGUCUUUACCUUCAUUUCUAGUUUUAGGAGCUAAUAUGUGCAUAGAGAAAAGUUUCUAUCCUGUUCUGUGUUCAUAGUCUCUGCUGUAAACUUCAUCUUCAUAUCUGAAAUUUG
rnacentral:misc_RNA from 1 species